rnacentral:rRNA from 1 species
CCUACGGGGCGCAGCAGUGGGGAAUAUUGGACAAUGGGCGAAAGCCUGAUCCAGCCAUGCCGCGUGUGUGAAGAAGGCCUUCGGGUUGUAAAGCACUUUCAGUGGGGAAGAAAGCCUUGGGUCUAAUACCCUCGAGGAAGGACAUCACCCACAGAAGAAGCACCGGCUAACUCCGUGCCAGCAGCCGCGGUAAUACGGAGGGUGCGAGCGUUAAUCGGAAUUACUGGGCGUAAAGCGCGCGUAGGCGGUCUGAUAAGCCGGUUGUGAAAGCCCCGGGCUCAACCUGGGAACGGCAUCCGGAACUGUCAGGCUAGAGUGCAGGAGAGGAAGGUAGAAUUCCCGGUGUAGCGGUGAAAUGCGUAGAGAUCGGGAGGAAUACCAGUGGCGAAGGCGGCCUUCUGGACUGACACUGACGCUGAGGUGCGAAAGCGUGGGUAGCAAACAGGAUUAGAUACCCUGGUAGUC